CCUACGGGUGGCAGCAGUGAGGAAUAUUGGUCAAUGGACGAGAGUCUGAACCAGCCAAGUAGCGUGAAGGAUGACUGCCCUAUGGGUUGUAAACUUCUUUUAUCUGGGAAUAAAAUGUUCCACGUGUGGGAUUUUGUAUGUACCCUAUGAAUAAGGCACGGCUUACUCCGUUCCAGCAGCCCCGGUAAUUCGGAGGGUCCGAGCGUUUUCCGGGUUUUUUGGGUUUAAAGGGAGCGUAUGUGGAUUUUUAAGUCAGUUGUGAAAGUUUGCGGCUCAACCGUAAAAUUGCAGUUGAAACUGGCAGUCUUGAGUACAGGAGAGGUGGGCGGAAUGCGUGGUGUAGCGGUGAAAUGCUUAGAUAUCACGAAGAACUCCGAUUGCGAAGGCAGCUCACUGGACUGCAACUGACACUGAGGCUCGAAAGUGUGGGUAUCAAACAGGAUUAGAUACCCUAGUAGUC
rnacentral:rRNA from 1 species